rnacentral:ncRNA from 17 species
CCACCCCAGCCCCAACCGCGUCCCGACGGGAGAAUCUGGGAAGCCGGUGAGACUCCGGCACAGGCCCGCUGCGGUGACCCGGACGCCGCCGACCACGAGGUCGGCAGCGAUCCGGGCAAGUCCGAAGACCGGCCUCGCGCCACUUGUUCGCU